UACGUGGGGGGCUAGCGUUGUCCGGAAUCAUUGGGCGUAAAGCGCGCGUAGGCGGCCCGGUAAGUCCGCUGUAAAAGUCCAGGGCUCAACCCUGGAAAGCCGGUGGAUACUGUCGGGCUCGAGUCCGGAAGAGGCGAGUGGAAUUCCUGGUGUAGCGGUGGAAUGCGCAGAUAUCAGGAGGAACACCGAUGGCGAAGGCAGCUCGCUGGGACGUAACUGACGCUGAGACGCGAAAGCGUGGGGAGCAAACAGG
rnacentral:rRNA from 1 species